rnacentral:rRNA from 1 species
GACGAACGCUGGCGGCGUGCUUAACACAUGCAAGUCGAACGGUAAGGCCCUUCGGGGUACACGAGUGGCGAACGGGUGAGUAACACGUGGGUGAUCUGCCCUGCACUUCGGGAUAAGCCUGGGAAACUGGGUCUAAUACCGGAUAGGACUCCGGACUGCAUGGUCUGGGGUGGAAAGCUUUUGCGGUGUGGGAUGGGCCCGCGGCCUAUCAGCUUGUUGGUGGGGUGAUGGCCUACCAAGGCGACGACGGGUAGCCGGUCUGAGAGGGUGACCGGCCCCACUGGGACUGAGAUACGGCCCAGACUCCUACGGGAGGCAGCAGUGGGGAAUAUUGCACAAUGGGCGCAAGCCUGAUGCAGCGACGCCGCGUGAGGGAUGACGGCCGUCGGGUUGUAAACCUCUUUCAGCACAGACGAAGCGCAAGUGACGGUAUGUGCAGAAGAAGGACCGGCCAACUACGUGCCAGCCGCCGCGGUAA